rnacentral:rRNA from 1 species
UCUUACGACUAUACCACGUUGAAAGCACGCCAUCCCGUCCGAUCUGGCAAGUUAAGAAACGUUGGGCUUCCUUAGUACCUUACUACUUGGAACGGAGACAAUUCCUGGGAAUUGUCUGUGUUGCAGGUU